rnacentral:lncRNA from 1 species
UUCGCUACAGCGAACGUGUUCGCUACGUGUUCGCUAUCUGUUCGCCAUGUACCUGUAACCCUCUGAUGUAGUUCGCUACCUGUUCGCUACAGCGAACGUGUUCGCUACGUGUUCGCUACGGGUUCGCUACGGAUUCGCUCAGCGAACAGCACUGUGACAGCAACUUUUGAUAAUUGUUUUAAGUGCAAUUAGGCACUUGUAACAUGGUUUAAGGGUAUCCUUACAUGUUUAUUGAUACAUGUUGAUGUCGUUAAUGCUUAUUGUUAAUCGUUAUAUGAUUCGCACGCGUAUGCAACGACUUGUAGUUCAAGCAACUAUGUUUAUGUUUUAGCAUUAAUUUGCAAUGUUAAGGAAAUGAGGUGUGUUUUAUGACAUAAGUGUAAAUGAAACCUUAUGUGUAUAAAAAUGGUUAUGCAGAUAAUUAUCAUGUGAAUAAUUAUGAUUGGAGUGAUAGGAUAUUGUGUUAUCCUAAUGUGUUAGAUGUUGGAAUUGUGUUUCCGCAUCAGUGAAUGAAUAGCUUCGAGCUAGAUA